rnacentral:misc_RNA from 1 species
GAUGAAGAACGUAGUGAAAUGCGAUAAGUAGUGUGAAUUGCAGAAUUCAGUGAAUCAUCGAAUCUUUGAACGCACAUUGCGCCCCUUGGUAUCCCGAGGGGCAUGCCUGUUCGAGCGUCAUUUCACCACUCAAGCCUGGCUUGGUGUUGGGCGACGUCCUCUUUGGGGACACGCCUCGAAACGCUCGGCGGCGUGGCACCGGCUUUAAGCGUAGCAGAAUCUUUCGCUUUGGAAGUCGGGGCCCCGUCUGCCGGAAGACCUGCUCGCAAGGUUGACCUCGGAUCAGGCAGGGAUACCCGCUGAACUUAAGCAUAUCAAUAAGCGGAGGA